rnacentral:rRNA from 1 species
AGAGUUUGAUCCUGGCUCAGAUUGAACGCUGGCGGCAUGCUUUACACAUGCAAGUCGAACGGUAACAUGGGUGCUUGCACCUGAUGACGAGUGGCGAACGGGUGAGUAAUACAUCGGAACAUGCCCAAUUGUGGGGGAUAGCUCGGCGAAAGCCGGAUUAAUACCGCAUAAGAUCUACGGAUGAAAGCAGGGGACCUUCGGGCCUUGCGCGAUUGGAGUGGCCGAUGGCAGAUUAGGUAGUUGGUGGGGUAAAGGCCUACCAAGCCUGCGAUCUGUAGCUGGUCUGAGAGGACGACCAGCCACACUGGGACUGAGACACGGCCCAGACUCCUACGGGAGGCAGCAGUGGGGAAUUUUGGACAAUGGGCGCAAGCCUGAUCCAGCAAUGCCGCGUGCAGGACGAAGGCCUUCGGGUUGUAAACUGCUUUUGUACAGAACGAAAAGUCUCUGGUUAAUACCUGGGGAUCAUGACGGUACUGUAAGAAUAAGCACCGGCUAACUACGUGCCAGCAGCCGCGGUAAUACGUAGGGUGCGAGCGUUAAUCGGAAUUACUGGGCGUAAAGCGUGCGCAGGCGGCGAUGCAAGACCGAUGUGAAAUCCCCGGGCUCAACCUGGGAACUGCAUUAGUGACUGCAUUGCUGGAGUGCGGCAGAGGGGGAUGGAAUUCCGCGUGUAGCAGUGAAAUGCGUAGAUAUGCGGAGGAACACCGAUGGCGAAGGCAAUCCCCUGGGCCUGCACUGACGCUCAUGCACGAAAGCGUGGGGGGCAAACAGGAUUAGAUACCCUGGU